rnacentral:rRNA from 1 species
CCAAUAGCGUAUAUUAAAGUUGCUGCAGUUAAAAAGCUCGUAGUUGAAUUUCGGGACUAAUAUGUCGGUCGUGCCUCGGUACGUACUGGUUUAUUGGUUUCUCCUUUCUGAAGAACCAUGAUGUCAUUUAUUUGGUGUCGUGGGGAAUCAGGACUGUUACUUUGAAAAAAUUAGAGUGUUUAAAGCAGGCUCACGCUUGAAUACAUUAGCAUGGAAUAAUGAAAUAGGACGUUUGAUUCUAUUUUGUUGGUUUCUAGGAUAGACGUAAUGAUUAAUAGGGAUAGUUGGGGGCAUUAGUAUUCAAUGGUCAGAGGUGAAAUUCUUGGAUUUAUUGAAGACUAACUACUGCGAAAGCAUUUGCCAAGGAUGUUUUCAUUAAUCAAGAACGAAAGUUAGGGGAUCGAAGACGAUCAGAUACCGUCGUAGUCUUAACCAUAAACUAUGCCGACUAGGGAUCGGAUGAUGUUAAUUUUUUAAUGACUCAUUCGGCGCCUUACG